GACGAACGCUGGCGGUGUGCCUAAUACAUGCAAGUAGAACGCAGUUGCGAACGGGUGAGUAACGCGUAGGUAACUGCCUCAUAGCGGGGGAUAACUAUUGGAAACGAUAGCUAAUACCGCAUACUGUGAGAUGGACCUGCGUUGUAUUAGCUAGUUGGUGAGGUAAAGGCUCACCAAGGCGACGAUACAUAGCCGACCUGAGAGGGUGUUCGGCUACUCUGAGACUGGGACACGGCCCAGACCACAACGUGAGUCAGCAGUCGGGAAGCUGCGUCAAUGGACGGAAGUCUGACCUAGCAACUCCGCGUGAGUGAGGACGGUUUGCGGAUCGUAAAGCGCGGUUGUUAGGGAAGCGGUAACUAACCAGAGAGGGACAGCGAACUACUUGCCAGCCGCCGCUGUAAUUC
rnacentral:rRNA from 1 species